AAUGAACGCUGGCGGCAUGCCUAACACAUGCAAGUCGAACGAAGGCUUCGGCCUUAGUGGCGCACGGGUGCGUAACGCGUGGGAAUCUGCCCUCAGGUUCGGAAUAACAGCGAGAAAUUGCUGCUAAUACCGGAUGAUAUCGCGAGAUCAAAGAUUUAUCGCCGGAGGAUGAGCCCGCGUAGGAUUAGCUAGUUGGUGUGGUAAAGGCGCACCAAGGCGACGAUCCUUAGCUGGUCCGAGAGGAUGAUCAGCCACACUGGGACUGAGACACGGCCCAGACUCCUACGGGAGGCAGCAGUGGGGAAUAUUGGACAGUGGGCGAAAGCCUGAUCCAGCAAUGCCGCGUGAGUGAUGAAGGCCUUAGGGUUGUAAAGCUCUUUUACCCGGGAUGAUAAUGGCAGUACCGGGAGAAUAAGCUCCGGCUAACUCCGUGCCAGCAGCCGCCGUAA
rnacentral:rRNA from 1 species